rnacentral:rRNA from 1 species
UAAGGUGGUAGUGGAAUAAGAGCUGGGCAAGACCGGUGCCAGCCGCCGCGGUAAUACCGGCAGCUCGAGUGAUGGCCGAUCUUAUUGGGCCUAAAGCGUCCGUAGCCGGCCACGCAAGUCCAUCGGGAAAUCCGCCAGCCCAACUGGCGGGCGUCCGGUGGAAACUGUGUGGCUUGGGACCGGAAGACCCAACAGGUACGUCUUGGGUAGGAGUGAAAUCCCGUAAUCCUGGACGGACCACCGAUAGCGAAAGCAUGUUGGGAAGACGGAUCCGACGGUGAGGGACGAAAGCCAGGGUCUCGAACCGGAUUAGAUACCCGGGUGGUCCUGGCCGUAAACGAUGUCUGCUAGGUGUGACUCCCACUACGAGUGGGUGUUGUGCCGUAGGGAAGCCGAUAAGCAGACCGCCUGGGAAGUACGUCCGCAAGGAUGAAACUUAAAGGAAUUGGCGGGGGAGCACUACAACCGGAGGAGCCUGCGGUUUAAUUGGACUCAACGCCGGACAUCUCACCAGCAUCGACAACGGUAAUGACGGUCAGGUUGAUGACCUUUCCAGAGCCGUUGAGAGGAGGUGCAUGGCCGCCGUCAGCUCGUACCGUGAGGCGUCCUGUUAAGUCAGGCAACGAGCGAGACCCGCACUCCUAAUUGCCAGCACCGGCUUCGGCCGGGUGGGUACAUUAGGAGGACUGCCGUGGCUAACACGGAGGAAGGAACGGGCAACGGUAGGUCAGUAUGCCCCGAAUGUGCUGGGCUACACGCGGGCUACAAUGGCCAAGACAAUGGGUUCCCACCUCGAGAGAGGGCGGUAAUCUCCUAAACUUGGUCGUAGUUCGGAUUGAGGGCUGAAACCCGCCCUCAUGAAGCUGGAUUCGGUAGUAAUCGCGUGUCAGCAGCGCGCGGUGAGUACGUCCCUGCUCCUUGCACACACCGCCCGUCAAAGCACCCGAGCGGGGUCCGGAUGAGGCCCUGUCACCAGGGUCGAA